UGGGUGGAUUAAAUUGCCCAAGAUGGCGAGUGGCUUGUUGUUUAGAGGGCAGACAAAUGGUGCACGUUGUAAUAAACAAAGGGAUACAUUUAAUAAACUCUGCUGGGCUGCAGUUGCUUGUCUUUAUACGAAGCCAUACAAAAAGAUAAGAGACAUCUGCAACAGGCUGAGCGGAGACCUUGUGACCUAGUCGGGGGAAUGCAAAAUAUUACAUUCAACAAACACUGUGAAAAUGUAGAUAGUUUAUAGUAUGUUCCUGGACAGUGAAUGGAGGGGAAACGUGAGCCUUCUUGAACAUGGGAAACGUGAGCCUUCGAGAACAUGGGAAACGUGAGCCUUCGAGAACAUGGGAAACGUGAGCCUUCGAGAACAUGGGAAACGUGUUCAUGCUCCACACUUCUGUCUACAGGCACCUUCGUUUGAAAAGGCAGGAGAGGGGGAUGAUAGUGAAUACUAAAGAACCGAGUUGAAAUGUAAUGAAAUAAUUGAGUUUGAAAAGAAACCUGGAUUUGACUGUGGUAAAACAUGAUACUUUGAGGAAAAUAAUGAUUUGGAUGAAAUAAUUGAUUUUCGGUAAGAAAUCACAUGAAUCACAGAGUAGAUUAAAUUAUUGGCAUCAGAAAUGUCUGAACGUGUGAAAUUCAGGGAAAUAUUUCAGGAGUGUUUUACAAGUUGGCAGAGCUUAUGAAAUAUUCACGAAAUUGCGAGUACAUGUACUA